UACGGAGGGUGCAAGCGUUGUCCGGAAUCACUGGGCGUAAAGGGCGCGUAGGCGGCUCAUGAAGGCUGUGGUGAAAGUCCGGGGCUCAACCUCGGAUCGGCCGUGGCGACUCGUGGGCUGGAGCACUGUAGAGGCGGGUGGAAUUCCGGGUGUAGCGGUGGAAUGCGUAGAGAUCCGGAAGAACACCAGUGGCGAAGGCGGCCCGCUGGGCAGUGGCUGACGCUGAAGCGGCGACAGCGUGGGGA
rnacentral:rRNA from 1 species